CUCCUACCAGGAGGAUUCUGCUCAGGAGGACUCUGACCAGGAGCCAGAAGAUGCAGAACAUUCCCUGAAAUCAGAGGGGCUGUCAUCCACUCCUGGGGCGUCUCAGAGGCCACUGAGGAUGAGGGGACUGAGCUGGUUCUCAGAGAUGGAGCACCCCAAGCUGGGAAUGCAGGAGGUUUUUGAUGUGCGGCCGCUGUGGGGUGAGCUGCAGCCAGGAGAGAGCGAGCAGGUCACCUUCACCUUCUUUGGGCACGCCAACGUGGUGGCGCGUGUCCGGGCGCUGUGCCACGUGCAGGGAGGCCCCAGCUACGAGGUGGUGCU